rnacentral:lncRNA from 1 species
CCGUAGAUUUUGAUAUUCAUUAUUUUAGAUUCCAUUAUUUUGUAUAGUAAAAUGGAAAUUUAACUUUUUGGAACACAGGAGAGUUUUGCCGUAUGAUUGAAGAUAGAGCAUAAUCGAUCAUACAAAUAUAAUAAAUCAAGGUUAAGGUUAAAAUUGAAUAUUGUAACCAAUCACGUUCGUCAAAUCCACCUAAAUCGGUGCUUCACGUCACACAUAUUUGCUUCACGUAAACAUCAAGAAUACCUAAAAAUAUACGAAAUCAUUUAUUUACAUAAACGCAAACCCAACAACACUAACCACGAGAUCAGAACUAGUAGUAGCAAACGCAUCUCCAGCGACCGCAGGGACAGUAGUAAGUAGAUCGCUUUGACGUUUCAAGACAAGAGAGACAUCUCACGGCGAAGAGCAGAGCCAAUGGAACCGCGGCUAGGAGGAGCCAACUCAGCACAUCUUCGCCUGAGGAGACAGCAACUUCGAAUUUAACGACGGAGGAAAGGGCUAAGAGGACGAGGGCCACCGUGAUCAUGACUAUUACCGGCAACGGAGACGUCGAUACUCUACACCGUCCGCAGCAGCAGCCGUGGACAAAUUACAAAGAUCUUCUAUCCUUGAUGUUGUCUCGAUGCAAAUUACAUUUGGAUCGAUCCCACCCGCAUAUUUCUCGACCUCUCCUUUCCUUAGAGUGCUCAAGCGAUUUCUAAUGUUAUUUUGCGUUUAUAUCAUCUUCACUUUGUUAAUUAAGUAUUUUCUUAGUCUUCCUUUGCUUAGCUUUCGCUAGCUAUCGUCUCAUACACACAAUACACAUGGAGUUCUCAA